rnacentral:rRNA from 1 species
UACGGAGGAUGCGAGCGUUAUCCGGAUUUAUUGGGUUUAAAGGGUGCGCAGGCGGAUUUUUAAGUCAGCGGUCUAAUCGUGGGGCUCAACCCCAUCCAGCCGUUGAAACUGGGGAUCUAGAGUGUGCGAGAGGUAUGCGGAAUGCGUGGUGUAGCGGUGAAAUGCAUAGAUAUCACGCAGAACCCCGAUUGCGAAGGCAGCAUACCGGUGCACAACUGACGCUCAGGCACGAAAGCGUGGGUAUCGAACAGG